rnacentral:rRNA from 1 species
CAAGAAAACUAGCCCGACCAUUAAGCCAAACAACCAUAAAACAGAACCAAACCAUUUGCCAAAACUAGUAUAUGCGAUAGAACCUUUUCUCGGAGCAAUAGAAGUAGUACCGCAAGGAAAUAUUGAAAGAAUAAUGAAACAUCAAAGCAAUGAAAAGCAAAGACCAACACUUGUACCUUUUGCAUCAUGGUCUAGCUAGACAUUUUCAGACAAAAUGAACUUAAGUCUGUCCCCCGAAACUAAGUGAGCUACUACAAGGCAAUUGCAAGAAUGAACCCGUCUCUGUGGCAAAAGAGUGGGAUAACCUAGUAGUAGUAGUAAAAAGCCUAACGAACUUAGUAAUAGCUGGUUGCCCAAUAAAUGAAUUUUAGUUCAACUUUAGACUACACUAAAGCAAGUUAUACUAACCCAUUAGCCUAAAAGAUACUCAAUGAGGGUACAGCCUCAUUGAACUAGGAAACAACCCUAACUAGAGAGACAGCAAACACCAUUUAACCCGUAAGCUUUAAAACAGCUAUCAGAAAACAGAGCGUCAAAGCAUAACAAAUAAAAAUACCAACAACCCCUGCAAACUCCUACAACAUAUUGAGCCACACUAUAACAAUAGUAGAACUAAUGCUAAAACUAGUAACAAGAACAUUUCUCUACGGCACACCCUUGACCCAGUAAUAGAAAACCUACUGAUAAUUAACAGACCCAAGCAGGUAAAACACACAACUGUUAAACCCACUGUCAAACCGACACAGGGAAGCCUAAAAGAAAGAUAAAAAGCUGUAGAAGGAACUCAGCAAACACUUGUCCCAACUGUUUACCAAAAACAUAGCCUUUAGCAAUAAAAGUAUUAAAGGUCCUGCCUGCCCAGUGAAACUUAUUUUAACGGCCGCGGUAUUCUAACCGUGCAAAGGUAGCGUAAUCACUUGUCUUCUAAAUAAAGACUAGUAUGAAUGGCUAAAUGAGGACAAACCUGUCUCCUACACCCCAUCAGUGAAACUGAUCUUUCAGUCCAAAAGCUGAAAUAUAAACACAAGACGAGAAGACCCUGUGGAGCUUUAAACCAACUACUAAUAAGCCCAUAGAGGACGACUAGUAUUUGUUUUAAGUUGGGGCGACUUCGGAACAAAACAAGACUUCCGAGCAUAGAGCCAUCAUCUCUAACUAAGGCCUACGAGCCAAAAUAAUUGACCCAGUCACACUGAUCAACGAACCAAGUUACCCCAGGGAUAACAGCGCCAUCUUCUUCAAGAGUCCCUAUCGACAAGAAGGUUUACGACCUCGAUGUUGGAUCAGGACACCCAAAUGGUGUAGCCGCUAUUAAAGGUUCGUUUGUUCAACGAUUAACAGUCCUACGUGAUCUGAGUUCAGACCGGAGUAAUCCAGGUCGGUUUCUAUCUAUGAUGCUAUCUUCUUCAGUACGAAAGGAAAAAGAAGAGGGGGCCUAUGCUAUAAAGCACGCCCCUAUAAAUAUGACUGAAGAAAACUAAAGUCAUAUAGCAGCCGAUAGAGCCGAGAUAUCGACUUAU